rnacentral:lncRNA from 1 species
AAUGCCUGAAUAGCUGGAUUCAUCUUUUGUUGAUCGCCAGUAUGUCGUGAUUCUUUAUUAAUCCCUUUGUUCGUAAUAUAUAAUACUUGAGCUAGUAUUUUUUUCUUCGCAAUGUAAGAUUUGUUUACUUAAGAUUUCUUCCCUUUUGUGUGUUAAAUAUUAAAGUAGAUCUGUGUCCUUUCGCUAUUUCAGGAGGGAAGAUUGAUGUAACAAGCCAGUUCAAAAGCUCGAAGAGUGAGAAAAAAGAAAAGAGUGUGAUGAAGCUAGUUAGAGAGACUGGUGUACAACAAAGAAAUAGCCUUUUGGGAGAUUUGGGCACUUCCAAAAAGCAUGUAACUGGAAAAAGGAGCAAUGCUAUAAUCUCUGGCAUGGAAAAUGCAGGUGAAAGUGGUACAAGAAGCAGAUCAUUUGGACAUAAACAAUCUAUUCCCAAUCAGCUGACAGAUAACCAGGCCACUGCUUCAUUACCUGUCAACAACUCCCCUGACAGCUUAAAGCCAUCAUUGCUCAAACUUAAGUUUAAGCGUCCACAUUUUGAGCAGCCAAGUGCCCAGGUUGCUCAACCAGAGGAGACGGCCACCUGGGCUUCUCAGCAAGAGGAGUUAAAUGUUGCUAAAGGUCAGAGAUCAAAGAGGAAAAGACCUUCGAUGGACAAGAUGGAUGGUUCGGAAGGCAAGACUCCAGGCAAAAGGCAUCAGCAGAGCACAGGCGAUGAAGCAAUGGAUGCCACCUGGAUACUGCGCAAGUUGGGCAAGGAUGCGAUUGGGAAGAGGAUUGAGAUCCAACUACCUUCUGAUGGCAAAUGGUGAGCUCUCUCUAUAGCCUUAAUUCGUGUUAUUUGUUCUGUUUAUUGUAUUACUAGAGAAAGCGGCAGACGCCGCGAAUGUACGUGUCUUCUCUAGCGAUAUCGCUGGCGUUGAGCGCUCAUGAACCAACGGCAGAGGAGUGAGAAUGCAACAAUCGUGGAGCGCCGAGAGAGUGCAAAAUUCUUCCCCUUUAGAUUUGAGAAGUAUAUACUGGUUAAAUAUAUCGUCUUCUUUUCUGUUGUGAUUUUUCUGAAGUUACUCUUAGGCUAUCUGAACCAUCCCUCCCUUGCCAUGAUAAAUGGAUCUGGUCUGAGGACUAUAUAUCCCAAAUAGUUUGCUUACUAUGUAACUUUUCUGCUCAUUAAAGGAACUUUCAUAGUGCUGUAGUAUUGUCGAGUAUGCAUCCUUGUGUUUUUGCUGGGUGGCAAAAAGGGUUAACUUACUCUAUAUCAAUCUUUUUGGCAGGCAUCAAGGGGUGGUAUCCAAUGUCCUCAGUGGCACACUUUGUGUUCAGUUAGAUGAUGGUAGCUCUGAGAACUUAGAGCUGGGAAAGCAGGCAGUUCGUCUGGUAGCUCAAAGAUCAAAGGGCGGAAAGAGAUGAAACCUUCUCUAUGUCCCUCUCAGUUUCCAUCAGAGCGGCUGCUGGGGUUCACCAGGUUGUAACAUCUGAAGUGCAGCAGUUGAAGGCUACUGCUGUUCAUGAGGCUGGUCCUCCCAGUGCUGCCGCUGAUGACCGGAUGAGACAUGGAGCGCAACCUUGCUUGUUGCACAGAACAUUGGCCAGUCUAGAAUGUAACAGACUUUUGUUUCAGGGUGUUUGAAGCUCAAUUGGCUUCCAUUGAAUUCUGUCAGGUGUAGAGAUGACUGGAAAAGUAGUUGGUUACCAUGGAUCUAGAAGAAUGUUUGGUUGUUCUUGUACAUGUAGUUGUUUUGUCUUGGCAUAUUUCCUUGUGAUCGCAGGUGGGUUUUCGGAUUGGUUUUGACCUGUUUGGGUAGAUAUCUGGUGCCGGUGCCAUACAUCGAGACUUAUUGCCAUUAAUAAGCAUAGACUGCAAUAGUAUUUCUCAAGGACCAUGGUCGCUUUUGUGAACCUGUUUAAGAAAUAUUAGGUGGUUGUUUUCUGUCUGGUAGCCUCCACUGAAAAUUUAAGGUUCAGAAACGCAAGUUGUUUGAGGCAAAACCUCUCGGUAGCUCUGGAGCGAUCUCGCCCCACCGUUGUGUCUGUCCGAUCCUGGCGUUCAUUCAAUCCCAUGGUUUGGGAAAUUCCCCUAUUCUGUAGGCUCAAACAGUUCAUUUCACUAUUUCUCUAGCCCUGUGUACUGUACGUUGACCUUGCCAGACCGAUGGUGGGUUAAGAUAAUAUUUCUUCCUUCGUUCUGUUUCUUCUUCCUUGUCCUCUGGAAGAGAUAGCUCCGGAACUCCGUAUCUAGUUCCUCCUUUCCUCCAUUGUUGUUCCACGUUCUGUUCUUCCUGCUUCUUCCUCGAUCGUUCUGUUUUUCUACUCCGUCUUUUACCCGCUUCUCUGAGAUGUACCUUCGUCCAAGCUCUUCGCGAUGUUAGAUUUCCGUCGACGUUCCAUGUUGUCUGUCCCUUCGGUUUCUCUUUCCUUCUCCACUUCUUUGUUCUUCGCGCAUAACUCUUCGUGUUAUUACUUAUUUCCAGAUGAUGUACAUUUCAUCCUCCUUCAUAUUUGCUAGGCCAGGUACUUCAGAUUUAUCAUUUCUUCAAACAUUUCUGUGCGUUUCAAACUAUGUACCGCUGACACUACUCAUUCCAGCAUUUCCGGAUUGCGCUGCUGCUCCUCCCAAUUCGAACAAAUGAGUCUUUCCAAGGUACGCAAACUACUUGUUUAUAAUGUACCCCAAUCUUCUGCUUUCUUCCACCACCUAGUUCUUUAACUCUUCAUACGCUCUUCUUCAAAUGUACCCCAUGUAAAGUAUAGUACUUUCAUGUACUUCAUCUUAUAUGUAAUGUUACUUCCAUGUACUUCAUGCUACUUCAGUCAACAUUGACCCACUCAAUUCUAUUGCUUCCAUUCAAUCAGCAUGUACUUUAUGUUUCCUUCCUCCUACUUCAGUCAACAUGGAUCCACUCUUCUAUUGCUUCCACUCAAUCAUGUCCCGAACAAUGUACCCUAAUGUAUCCAUGUCAUCUUGCUGACUUAUAUGUUGCCGUAAUUAUAUGUUGCCGUACUUGCUGCUUCAGUCCACAUGAACCCAAUCAAUUCUAUUGGUUCCACUCAAAUUGACCCUAAUGUACCCCUUUUUCCAACGCACCAACGUAAUGUACCCUCAUGUAUUUCUUCUUAUAUGUCAUUACAUUAUAUUGUUUUCCACUCAAUGAUGUCACAACAUGUACCAUCAUCUACCUCUUCAUCUAAUACACCAACCUAACGUGCCCUCAUGUAUCUCCACUGUUUCCACACAAUGUUGUACUUCAUCAUUCAACUCACAAUUCAUUGCAGUGCUACUUCUUUUCUGCCAGCUCAAAGGACCUGCUGCACAUUCUGAUAGUACUGAUGAAGUCACAUAGUACGAUAGCAAUGAUGAAAGUCAAACUUCUGCAACAACUAAGUCAGCAACAUCAAGGACCUCCGCGAAGACCCUGUACUGGAUUAUCAAGAAAUUCAAUCCAAUCAAAAGGCAGUUGGUCAAGGAAAUAGGUUUUGGCGGACUAUUGGAACUGCCUCUAUGGAAUUCAGUUAGUCACAUUUUCAGUACUUGGCUCCUUCGGCAUGUUGAUUGCAUAGACCCCGCAAUCGUCCUGGAUUCAAUUCGGAGGCUCCCCUUUGUACCUCAGGAUGUCAAUAGAGUAUUUGGUAUUCCAUGCGGGCUUCGCGAUGUACUGGGACCUGAAACUAAAAUAUCGGAUACGGCCAUGGCAUACAUUCGUGAACAAGCUGGUAUAUCCAUGACCAAGAUCAGCCUCAAAGAUGCCGAGAAGAUUGUCCUCAUGGAUUUGUCAGAAGAAAGCACAAGAUUAUAGAAGGAUGCAUUCAAGAUGGCAUUUGUUAUUAUUUGUUAUGGGUCAUCUCCUUUCACCAUCUACAAAGUAUGAUCAUGUCAAUAUUGAUUUCCUUGGCGCCUUGCGUUGUACCGAAGAGAUUGGUGAAUACAACUGGUGUGCGUAUGUUCUGAAAGGUAUCAUUGAGGCAACUCAAAAAGUACAGGCUGACUUAUCCAUGAACAAAGUUGUUUCCAACAUAUUUGGUUGUCACAUAUUUCUGCAGGUACACAUAAAAUACCCUAAUGUAUUUCUUAUUUAUAAAACGUAAACGUAAUCUACUCCUUCCUUUCAAUGCCUCUCCCUAGUGUACAAUCGUGUAAUUAUAGCUCCAGUCAACAUGUACCCUAAUGUACCACUUCUUCUAUCAACCAUAUUGACCCUCAUUGAUUUAAUUCUACAUGUACUUAAACUUCCUGCGUACUCACUUCAUAUUGUUUACUUCUUAGAUCCACUAUCUAGAUAUCUCUUACUUGGACCACUACAACCUCGAAAGAAUAUUUUCCCUCGUAUGAAGGCUUUUCCAACAGAAGUACUUAACAAGCUUAUAUUAGCUGAUGCUAAGCUCGGAGGUUGUUAUGGAGCCAAGCAGGUACCAUCUGCCAUCAUCUCAUUCUCCAUGUAAUCUAUUUCAUAUCAUAUAGUACUUCUUCCUGAAAUAACAUCUCGAUGCCAUGCGGUUCAAUAUGAGGGGUACGGUCCUCGUUCCCAACCAGUCACCAAAUAUAGCCCGGCCACUUCCUCUGCCUGCAGGAUCUGGACAAAGUACUCCCAUUUGUCCUUCCAUACCAACAUCUCCGGAACCAGCCUUCCAAUCAACACAGCAACCUUGCCUCAAUUCCUCUGAGAAAAAUACCCUACUCUCGUAAGAAAACGAUAAAUGUUCUUUCCCAUCAACUCUUACGUACUCAUAACUAACAUGUUCACAUCAAAAUCAUCCAGUGCAAUACAACGCUCGCGAAUGAUUUGAAACUAUAUAAUGCAACAAUGGUAUGAGCAAUGAACGAAAGGCACACUGCUGAGAAGAGUCAUCUCCUGCACCAAAACUUAUGGCUUGCUGACAAGAUAUGCACAUUCAUCUCUGGAGUACCCCAACUACCACCGCAACAAUCAGCUUCAACUUCAAAAACAGAAGGUACAUCUACACUUCCUAUUAAUACAUCAUAAAAUAUAGUAUUCUCAACCGGGUACCACUUUUCCCUCCAGCUUCCGCGAACAGCUCUGUCAAAAGAGGAGAUAACAAAGAUCAACCUAACUCUCAAUUUGAAGGUGCUCUUUCACAUAACUCAAUCUUUAAAUUUUUCCAACGAUCUAAGAUAUAAAUGUUGCCAUUCUAGCUCAAAGCAAGGACUGUACAUCACCUGUGCGUUCAAUGAAAUGUCUAGAGGACACCCCCAAGAGGUCCUCAUCUCAAUUCAAUGAUGCAAUAAACAAGAAAUCAAAGACCGCUAACUCAGGUAACUUACAUUACAUGCCUAAUUUUACAAUCAACAGCUAUAUUCAUAAUUAUUCUUUUCAUUCCUUCCACAAAUAGAUGGCAGGAGAUCUAUGUUCAGCAACAUGGACUUUGAACCACCUUCUUUUGAUCUUGACAUCUAUUCUGUUCCAUCCUUCGCAGCUUCCGGUGACUGCUCCAAGAAAACAUCACCACAAGAUCUAAUGGCUCCUGGUUCUCCAGCAGCUACUAAAUUAUCCAUGAAAGGUAACAUGGUCGAUUUGAUUAUGAGGACAGAGGAUGUGGACUGCGCGGAGAGUAAGGUACUGUUUGGUGCAGCAUCUGCUUCACCACCUUGCAAACGUCAAACCAGGGUAGGCAAGUUUGCACCCUCACCGUGGUCAGAAGGAUACAUACAUCCGAAACCUGAUGGUGACAUCAUGGUUAGUCUCAUGGAAUGGUGUGCUGAUGCGCCUCCACAGUACUUGAAAAUGUAAGCACAUGUACUUUUCCACUCUCAAACUUGAAGUAUACUCACUAUGCUAACUAUGCACAUUCUUAUCCAGGCCAUGGGUCACCAAUGAAUUUCCUCGGUACAUCUCAAUGCCUGGCAGUGCAAAACAGAAUCAACUAAUUCGUGACGACGUCUUGACUUCGAAUUGUGCGACCUUCUUGUAAGGCGGUUAACGCAACUAGACUCCAAGAUGGGACCAACUAGUUCAAGGAUGCGUUGGCGUCAUCUCCUCGAGAGUGAUUUCUCUGUACGUUUCAAUCAAACUUUAAUCAUCGUAAAUUUCUUGUUUUCACCAUUCCGGUACUAUGAAGGAAACUUAUGUACAAAAACAGGUAUGUGCGAUAGCAGAAGACGACAUCACACCUCUGUUAUCAAUCCAGCAACAAUUCAUUGGCGACGACAUAACGUACAACAUGUCCUGCACUACAAUGGUAAUAACUCCUAACAGAUGUGAUAUCUUUACAUUCAUUCAAUUAUACUUGAUAUCUAACAAAUAUUUAUUGUAGUUCACCGUACCUUCAUUUAUUGAACAAUCCUGGUGUGCCUACAUGUUUGACAUGAAAGAAGAGAUUAUUCAUGUACUUGAUCCAUUGGGGCUGCAUCUCGAAUUAGCCGCAAUCAAAGUAUUGCAGGCUCAUUACGCUGACGUCAUUCAUGAGAAGCUCUUCCAUUGCUUCAGCAAGUAUUAUGAAAUUUGGAAUCCACAGAAGAAAGAUUGGCCUCACGUCUAUCCUGUUCUCACCAACGACAAGUUCACCAAGUAAGGAAAAAAUAAAUAACACCAUUAUUUCACAAUGUUCAGCUAAUACAAGUACUUCAAUCGCACCCACUGCCAUCUGCCAAAUUGUACUCGCAGCAGUACUUCCAAUGCUAUUACAAGUACAAAACUUCGAAAUGUACAUUCAAUCAAUUUCUACUUUCUUAUAUGUAAAGGUACUACCAACAACAUCCAUGGUACAUAUAUACGGACAACAAAGUACUUUCGAUCAUGUUUGCUAUGUGCUAAUCUGUGAACAACAUAAUAGUAAAACAUAUAUGUACUUCAGGAAUCAGAGCGGAUUGUGCAUGCUGCAUUGUCUACGCAAUUACAAUGGGGAAGAAUUGGAGCAGCCACUGACACUGGUAAGUUCUAAAUCUUCCACUAAUCAUUGCUUGCUGCAUUAUUGUGUCACAUUCAUUACUAAUUGCUGCAUAUAUAUUCUUUGUUCACAUCCUAGAAUGGUUAUUCAAGAUUGCAGCAUACCUUUCUUCAUGAACUGCUGACCAUGGAGAACAACAAAGCCACACUACCAAUCCACAUACUGAAGAUCAUCGACCCACCAAAUUGGAGACAAGUUUAGACGCUCAAAUGUUGCACCAAAUUGUGUCAAUCUAUAGAUAAAGCCCAGUCUUCCAUCCGUCCAAGUUGUCUGUUUUACCCGCUUCAGUUCUCUGCCUGUCUAAAUUAUAUCAGUUGAAUUCCUUUUGUUUCAGAACUUGUUAUCUGUACUAAGUACUGCCCGUAAUCUGCCCAUAAUGUGAUGUUCCCAUCUGGGUUAUCAACUUCUAUUAUGCUGUCCUUUGUGACCUCUCAUUAAGUUAAUGUACUGUCCACAUAACACAGCUUCUUUGCACUAAUUAUGCAUCAUACUGCUCAUCCAUGCUCAACUACUCCUGUCCUCUUAUCCUGUGCCGUAAGGUACGGCCGUCCUAUCCUCAUGUACCAUGAUGUACCAGUUUUUCAAAACAUGAAAAACUCCUUAAUUCAACUCAACCAAAGUCUUCUAAUGUACCGUAAGGUGUGCUUCUGUUUCAAUGUUCAUGGCCUUUACGUACGUACUAACAGAUAGAACUUCAUGUACUUAUUUUCUAAUAUACCUUAAUGUACUUAUCUUCUCAUGUACCAUCUCGUACUAAUUUUCUCAUGUCAUGUCACGUAAAAAUCUUGUUUCAUUCACUUAUGUUCUCAUCGCCCAUCAUGUCUUCAUUAUUACAUACACGCUAACCUCAACCUUCACAACUACUACAGUUAAAUCUCGUACAUGAGUAAAAUGUUCACAAACAACUACUUGCAAUCACCGCAGUGACAUGGACUCGAUCAUCAAGUACUUGCAAUAAGCGCAGUGACAUCUUACUACCGCCUUCACUCCUAAAAUAACAAAUUGUUUCGCCAAAUGCAUACAUAAUUCCAUAAAACAACUACACAGUACUGCCGCCUCCACUUGUGACAUGAUUACUUGCAUCUCCGCCACAAUUCUUCAUACUCCGCGUGUUACGCCUUGUGUACACUAAAAUCUCGCCGCCUUGAACAGAAUUUUCUGCGUUCAGAAUGAUACAUCUCACUACAAUAAACUGCACUAAAAUAAACUGCACUACAAUAAACUGGACUUCAAACUAUAACAUCUUCAGACCUGAUGCAUCUUCCUCUCCAGUUGAAGAUUUAGGUUUCGCCUCCACUGCCUCUUCUACAACCUCCUUCUCACCCAACUUAGGGGCAUCCUUCUCUUUCCCUACAUGUUUGACAACCUUGCUAAGUACCCAUUGCAUAGGCUAAGCAUAUGACAAAGUUCAACAACAUACAGGUCCUUGCAAAUUAUAAAUACCGUACCUCCUAACGUCUCGUCACCUGGUGGUGUUAGGAAGAAACUGUUAAUGAAGUCAUGCACAUUGCCAGAAUUUGUACUUCCCGAUCCUCCCGUCCCACCGUGCUCACCAUCUAAUAUGUUCUCCGUACGCUCUCCUCUUGGAACUACCAAACAACAUUACAAAUCAUACCACAACUUAAUUUUGCAGCAAGAACAAACAUUAUUCCUUCUAUAUGACAAGUACCAUCAAAUGAUGAUUCUUUUCCAUCAACAACUGCUGGUUCUACGACACAAGCAGGUAAUGCCUCUUCUGCACCAGCUUUAUCUGCAAACAAUUUAACAUCUUAACUUUCUAUCGUCAACGCUGUCAUCGAACAUAAUAAAAGUACGGAAACCUGAUGUCUCAUCAAACUGUUGUUGUCCUUCAGCGUGGAUGUGUUCAGCAGCUUCAAUAUCAUCAAGUACGUUAUUAAUACUAAAGUCUUCACUCACGCUUUCACCUGCAAUUGAGAAACAGACAAAACAUCAUGUACAUAAAUAAGUACUCCUCGCAUUAUCAAAUUAUGUAACACAUAACGUACCAGCCUGAAUUCUCUUGUUCGCACUUAACUCCGCGUUAUCUAAUAAAUAAUAAAUGAAGCAUUAUUCACUUAAUUCGAAGCCAUGGAUGACUCUGCGUCUGUAUUUCAAAUACUCACUUGAUUGAACAGUGCUGUUCAAUCCUAUACGGACAACUUCCUCCUGCACAUCUUCUUUCUGUCACACCAGUGGCACCUGGGGUACCACCGCUGCGCAACGCGUGGGCCCCGUCCCCGGGUUCCUGGGAAGGUUCCAUCUCGGGCAGCGGCUACGAGCAGUCCGGCAAGCUACCAGCCCAGAAGGGCUAGCGGGGCUUCGGGGAAUAUUCCCGCCUGGGCACCUCCCGGGAAGCUGCUUCCCGGGGGAGGUUCCCGGGUGCGUUGGGCCCAGGCGCUUCCCGGGGAGCGACUUGCCGGGACAAGGGGUUCCCGGGCGCAUGCCUCCGCCUCAAGAGCGGGGCCCAGUGAGCAGAUCAACAGUGCCACGCGGGCGUGUGGCGGGCGUGGGGUGCGUGGCCCCACCGGGGCAAGAAGUAAGGCGCACGGCUCAUUAAAUGAGCCGACAGGAGGGGCAUUACCCGUCCAAGUCAAGUGAACAGUGGCUGUCCAAUCCUACUCUAGGGUUUCAGACUCCUAGCGGCGGAGGUGGCGUCCAUGCGCGCCACCAGCUCAUUGAGGGAGAGCUGUAUGCCUCUCCGCUCGACAUUUGUAGCCCAUGCACCGUGGCACCUGUGGCAUCCCCUUGAGUAUAAAAGGAGGACCCUCGCCAGCGGUCAAAAGGGUCAAGUUUUGCUGAGUUGGGGUUCCGGUAGGUUUCAGUCCCGGAAAAAGGCUCCACGUCCGCAAGUUUGUUUAGCUCUGGGUAGCAGGUAGCGUAGGCAAGGGAAGAGAGAAAGAGAGCCCGGGGACCUUCCCCCACCAAGGUGUAAAACACUUGAUCUGCAAUCAAUACCAGCUCAGACAAGCAGGACGUAGGGUUUUACACCUCCGGGUGGCCCGAACCUGGGUAAAAACGUGCGUGCAGGGGUUCUUUGAUUAGCGCGUACUUCUAGUACAUCAUUUCGCCGGCCUCUCAGGGCCCAUCGGCCGAGCCGGCGAUCGCCGGGGCGAACCCCGACGCCCAUACCGAACCUAAAAGGGGGCUGUGACCGCACGCCCCCGGUGUCGGAGCACCAUGCGAUGACACUUUUGCCCCCUCUUCUUCAAAACAAAGUUCUGGAUGUACACCCCUACAUACAUAUUUGUUGCGACUUAGACAACUACAGUACUAUAAAAAAGAUAAAGCCAUGUAAAUGAAAGUCACCUCCUCACAGCUUGUUUCCUCCUUAUUCUCCACUCAGGAACACGUGGCAUUCCUGGUGGUCUUUUGCAUGAGUGUUUCUGCAGUCCAAGUGCUUCUGCAACCAUAAUCUUUAUUGAAGAAUGUACAUCUAUAUUGUUACCUUCAUGGCCUAGUGUACCCCCAUAUCAAAAAACCAUGACAUCGCGUUAAAUGACUUCUUACAAAUCUAACUGCCAACCAUUUAUCCAUAUCACAGCACAUGCGCUUUUUAGAUUGCGUACCUGCAGUUUCAACAUUUCUCGGGGCUUCAGUUUCAACCACAGGAAUUGCAGAAUGGCCAUGUCCUGCUAAAAUUAUUUGUACAAUAAUGUUAAUUCAAUGUACAACGAGGUACAAUACAUUAUGGAGCUGUACUAACCUUCUACAUCAGUAAUUUCAAUAUCUCUGCGUGCGACCUCUUCGAGUCCUACACUCUUGCAUCUGCAAAUUUUUUAAUCUUUAAUGUUUAUUUACUCCUCCUUAUAAUAUAUAAUGGACAAUACUAACGUAUGUGGGUCUACCUUUUUGAGGACUGGCUUCCUAAGUUCCUAGGACAUAACAUAAUAUAUUAUCAAUUUUCAUUAUCAUCCGAAAAAAAAUGUACCAUACAAAAUACAUAAAUCAUUACCUUCGUUUCCUCUUUUCUGACCAACUUCACUCAUGUUGCUAUCCUCUACAACAUUGUCACCAUUCCCAGAAGAUUGUACUGUAAAUUCUCUCCCAGUGUUAAUAAUUGGUACAUCUGGUACAUUUCAUAAAAGCAAUAAAUCUGCUAAAUGAAAACCUGACACUACAUGCUAUGGACAGAGAUGUAAUUAAUUACCUCCAGAACCAUCUGCUACUCGAGUAGGCUUCUGGAAUUUCGGAUUACCUAUAUAAAUAUUUAUUGCUUAGUCCAAUGAAAUUUGUGUACAUACUAAUGUGAUCAAAAUAACCUGAUGUCGCAUCAUCGUGAAUUGAUUGUUCUGCUCCGUCACAUGCUGCAAACAUAUUCAUAACUUAACGUGCUGGAUAAAUAACACUAAUUAACACUCGUUUCAAAAUUAGAAAGAACAUCCAGUACGUACCUUCCAUCCCAUGUCCCUGAGAUCUCGUCUCUUCAUCAGAUUCAUCUAAAGAAGUCUCCUUAUCCAUGUAGUCCGCUAUACGUUGGAGAAGAAGAUUCUUCCUCUUCACUAGCUCUCGUCUUAGAUGUUCAACCAGAUAACCAUCGUUAUCAUGCUGCUCUUCAAUGACCGUCAUCAAAGCAUUGUAACGCCGUUGUUUCCUGGAUCGUCGAUCGCUCCUGUACUUCUUUUUCUUUGGCGUACCAUAACUUCUCCCUAUGCCUUUACCUUUUCGGUCAAAAUGGAUCUUGUUGUUUCUCUGGUAGAGAAGUCACAUAUCAUAAGAACGAUGUACACAUUCAUUAACCUGAUCCUAGAAACACCGCGCAUAUGAUGUUAAAAUUACCUUGUAAUUACCGUACCACUGGCUCAAAUCAACAUUAUGUGCCUUCUUGUCAAUAUUGAUGAGCAUAUCUAGCUUUCCUUUAUCACAAGCCUUGAUUCUUGGGAAUACAUCUGGUCUAGCUUUGUGUACGCCAAAGUCAAUGCUAUCAAGAUAGAAAAUCUGCACACAAAAGUGUUCAACAAACAUUACAUCAUGUGUGGCACAAUACAAAUAAUUUAGAAGUACGUUCUUUUCUAUACCUGAGGUACAAUGCAGCAACCACCCACAAUACAGGUCGAAUAACUGCCUCUCUUCCCUUCUUUCACCUUCCUGGCAGCAAAUCCUAGAAUAUCAAGCACACACCUUGCAUAGUUCACUUAUUUAAGUUUCUCAACGGUGCUCAGGUAAGGAAGCAAAUAUAGCGGAAUCUUUGGAUCGCGAUCUCUGCAGUCAAGAAGGUAAGCGAAUGAUAAAAUUACAACUCCAAUUUUGAAAGCUUCUUGUUCUUUCUUCGAGCUGUGCUCAUCAAUUACGCUCUCCACGACAUUAGAAACAGUCGAGAUUGUUAGCUGUUUAACUCCCAGAGCCCUGCUAACUUCUUCAAUCAUCUCUUCAGGCACUUCAUCAUCUAUUACAGAAAUAUGCUUUCCUUCACAUGGCAAACCUAUAAUAUCAUGUACAUCUGAUGGGUAUAUGGGUACUCUUGUACCAUCAGGGUACUCAAAUUCCUUAGGAUCCCCAUCAGCAUCAGUCUGAUUCAGACAAAACAGUGAGAACUGCCGAUUCCAUUGAUGUUUCGGCAUCUCUGCCAUUCCAUCGAAAGAAAUAUCUUUCAUUAAUAACAGCUUGAAAUGAUUGAAUUUGGAGAACAUCUCGUUCAUAAUGGAUGGCUUCUGACAAGCAAACAACUUGGGACUCCAAAUAUGGCACCUGAAGGCUGCGUCCUCUAGUACCACGACCUCGGGGAACCGAACCAGAACUUCUCCCUCGCAUGAUGCCAUAUCUAACAGAGAAGGUACAAUACAGUUAGUAACUAUGGUACGAACAAUUGAUAAACUAUGUCAAAAAUGAGUACGUACUUCUGGAAACAAAAAUACAUACUCAAAUACACUUAGAAUCCCGUACACUUAUAUUUAUUGCACAUGCAUGUCAUUUCAACAAAUUAAAAAAAUUAACGGCUAUUUCAAUGACGUGUACUUAACUUAGCACUCAGAACGUCUAGUACUGCAUUGCACGCAUAUGUACUACACUUCUAAGUGAUACGUGCACAUUUCAGGUCAGUUGUACAAAUGAAGAUAACUUCAUUUUUCAAAACCAGACAACAUGGGCAUUGUUCAGUACUCGCAAAAAAACAGAAACCUAAUAUAUAUAUAUAUAUAUAUAUAUAUAUAUCCCACAUACAUUGUUCAAGUUGUAAAAAAAUUAGUUAAAUUUUUUUCCUUCAUGACAUGCAAACAAACUUGUCCCUUCCAUAUCUGUUGCUCUCCUGGACAAAACGUUUACUUCUGAUCUCUAUACCUCUGGUACACACAAAGUACAACAACGUACAACUGAAACAAAAUCAUGGAUCUACUGUUCUGACUUACAGGAAAUAGAAAACAGGUUUGUUCGGAUCUCUAUUCCGACCAAAUGAAAAAAAUACAACAUGUUGUUCACAACUGUACAUUCCAGAUCCACUUCUUACCACACUGAACUAUAUAUGCAGAAAAUAAUACUAAUUUCGUACAGGACAGAGGACAUCUAUUCAACACUCUGCAUCACAAUACCGAAUGACAAACAAGCAAAAAAUAAAUAAAACAACAAGAUCUUAGCAGUACAUAACUCAACCUUCAUACAACAUACAGUAGAUCUGUACUGCAAGCAAAAAAUAGAGCACAAUAGCGCGCUGCUUACGCGAAGACCUAGCAUCGAAUCUACGAAGAAGAACAUCCGAAUCCCAGAUAUAAGCGGUACCUGGUUGUUGCCGAUGUCUUUCCGCAGGUUUCUCAUCGAUUUCCCGCCGUCGCCGCCGCUGAAUCGUCCAACCAAGUCGCCGGCGACUGCAGCGGUUGAAAGACGAGGAACCGGCUGUGAAGAGAGAAAGGAGAGAGAGAGAGACCUAGGCUUCCUUUGUGGUCCCCACCAACUUCUCACAUUAAUUUAUCAGGGCAGUAAUGUUAAUUAAAUCAACGAAGCUUAACCCCAACGAACCUAGCAAAAAAAGUUAAUUAUUGUGCUAUCUUUAUUUUAUGAACAUAAGUAAGAAUAGUAAAAGUACUAACAUGGACACGAGGUACUCCCUCCGUCAAAAAAUAAGUGACGUCAAUGUACACAAAUAAACGUCAAUUUUUUCCGUUACAAGAAUCUAUACAAAUUGACGUCACUUAACAUAGUACUGUCGUACAUAUUACGUUAAACCCAAACCCAUGUAUAUCAUGAAGUAAACCUAUGCACUAAGAUGGACAUUAAAUACUUGAAAUCCAAUUUAUAAUGUUAGAACCAUGUACCUCAUGAAUUAACAACACUACAUAAGUACAUAACUUCACAUGGUACUUCACACAAUGGAAAUUAUAGUUACAAACUACAACACAAACUAGUAUGUUUAAACCAUGUACCUAAUGAACUAACAAUAGUACAUUAGUACUAAGAUGGAUACAAAAAAGUUAGAACCCCUUUUUAUAGAAGACAUAUUACAUACUAUCAAUAGUACAUUACUACUAAGAUGGAUACAAAAUACUUUGAAUAGCACGCAGUUUAUUAUGUUAAAACAUGUACCUCAUUAACUAACAAUAGUACAUUAGUACUAACAUCGAUACAACAUAAUUAGAACACCAUUUCAAGGAAUAGACGUUAGGUUAAUAUAGCACUGUACGAAAUAUAAUGUUAACCCCGCAGUUCGGCAAUGAAAAUAGUACAUUAGUACUAUUUUGGAGAAUAACAAUAGAACAUUAUUAACAAACUAUAGUACUCCCUCCGUUCCUAAAUACUUGUCCUUGUUUUAGUGCAAGUUUGCACUAAAACAACGUCAACUAUAUACAGGAGCAUACAGUACAUAAGAAGUAAUAACAUACGAAAUAUGAAAACCACAUCACUUCCAAAAUAUUGAGAAAGACAACAGCAUAUCUGGAUAACUCCAAAAUACAGUACAUAAGGAAGUACAUAAGGAUGAUCCAUGUUCACUAAGUGGUACCGAAUCCCACAAAAUAUGAACUACUUGCUAAAGGUACUUUCUCCUCAUUAGAACGGAGUGUCCAACAUGUACCAUCUAAAUAUUACAAAGUACGAUUCCAGUUGCAUUAAGCAUGUACCAGAUUUUAUAACAUGACUUUGUCAUUACCCGCUAGAAAGUACUAGCACCUUCAUUCACAAUCUUAUCACUUGCUUCUUCUCCAUCAAUCCUCCCAACUUCCUCUUUGCCACAGUCUUCCUUUCGUACACCUUUGGUCUGUCUGUAAAAUGGGCCAUAGAAAUUAAGAAUCUCCACGACAAAAAACAAUUAGUAAUUCAAUAAAUACCUGAUCGAUAAACCACCACGUUCUGCUCCUCAAUAAGAUUGUCAACAAAAUCCACUGCAUCCUUCAUUGGGCCUGAAGAAUGUACUGAGUCAGUAUGCAAAUCUGUGGGUUGAUAAAUUAAUGGAAUGAUUCGACAACGUACAUUGUGGUGUCUGAUCAAAUACAGGAGCAGCAGGACCUUGGAGAUCGUAAAAGUCUCCAUAACAACCUUCAUUGUGAUCUAUAUGACCAUAUUGUUGUUUUCGUUACACAAAUUUUACAAUUUCCAUUAAUAACCACUAAUGAUAACAAUAAACUAAAGUACCUACUAACACAUGCUCCCCUGGAGGAGUGAGCAGGAAAUUAUUGACCAACUCAUUCACAUUGCCACAAUUUGUACUUUUCGAACCUGCUGUACCUUCAUUAACAACAUCAGUUAUCUUCUCCUAGCCAUGUACUAUUAAAAUAAACAAUCAUCAUAAGUCAUUAUCAAUAAUAAAUUAUGAGCCAAACAUAGUAUAUUACUGCUAUUGCCAUACCCUGAGACGAUGAUUGUAUAGGAUCAACAACGGGUGAUACCACAUGGACAGGUUGUUUUGUGCAUAGUUCCUGAGGUUCUUCUGCAAAGAUCAAUUACGAAAUGAGGGUCAUAUGUUAUGGGUUCCAUCUAUUUCUAUUCAUCAUCCAAAUAUAAUAACCUUCUAUACUUGGAAGAUUAUCUCCUUCACGCUCGGUAUGUUCUCCAGCCUGAAUAUCUUCCAGUACACUAUUAAUAAUCACAUCUUCAUCAAAUGUACAUGCAAAAUUACCUGCCUCACAGUUGGGCUUCUGGCUGCAGUCAUCAUUAUCUUCGAACAAGUAAAACAAGCGUACUAUGUCAGAGAAAUAAUGUACUCUCGGUCAAAAAAAGUUCUAACGAUUUUUUAUGCUUAACACUUACUUGAUUCAGAAGGUAAAUUAGUGUUUGAAACUGAUCCAACCACAUCAUGCUGAACAUCUUCUUUUUUUUUAUUGUCUUCACUAAACUGCUGUCAUCGUGGACCCCUGAAUCCAAAUUUUUUGUCUUCACGUCUAUACAACUGAUAGACAAAUUACACGAGACGGAAAGCGAACUACCUGAAUGCAAUUUUUUUACCCAAUCUCCUAGACCUGGGAACACAUGGAUUUCCUGGAGAUGAAACACAUGAGUCUUUCAAACCCAACCAUAAUCUAUAUGACUGAAAAAUUAAAACAGCAUAGUUUAAGUACGUACCUGGCCUUCCAAUCCUACCGUUGUCUACUUUUCGACCUUCUAUUAUAGGUUGAUGCCCUUCCGUGGCUGAAAUUUUAUUUACAAACAUACUCAUUAAAUGUUCCAUAAGGUACCUCGAAGUACCUAUUACAACUAACCUUCCGUACGACUGUCUCUAUAAUUCGUAGGUACGUCAACCUUAGGCCCAGUACUCUUGCAUCUACAAAAAAACUAUUACCCUGAGAACACAUAUUUUCAAUUUUUGCUGUUAUGUACAACUCAAAAUUAUAUGCCUGUAUCAUUGAACUAAAAAGACACCCCAACAAAAGUACCGUACCUUUGCGACGAUUCGCUUCCUGAGUUUAAUUCCCCUAAAAUGGGACCACAACAUAAAUUAAUCCCUUCAGUAAACAUAUUUUCAAACACAAAAGCAGUUACCUUCUCCACCUCUCUUGUCUCUGACUUGAUUCAUGUUACUGUCCUCUCGAAGGUUUUCAUCAUUUGCAGAUGCUCGAACUGAAUAGUCAUGUACGGUUAGUACUGUCUAACAGGUCCCGUACAUUAAAAACAUCCAGACAAAACUAAGGUACAAAAUGCAUGAAAGUACCUUCAGAGUUCUUCUUUGUAAUAACUUUCUCCCUUUGCCAUACACCACUGGUUUGUGGUAGCCGAUUAGGUCUUUUAAACGGAGGGUUACCUAUAAGAACAUAAUAUCAUGUAACUUCUUACACUACUCAAAUGCGUCAACAUGGAAAGGAAAAUUCUGCCAACAAAAUCACCUGAUGUUGCAUCAUCGUGAAACGAACGCUCUUUGCGAUGAGCUGAGAAAAAAUUGGUUACCACGGUUAGCAACACGAGUACUCAUCUAUAUGUACCAACAAAUGUACGUACCUUCUAUCCCAUGUACAUGAUGCGACGUAUCCUCAUCUGAUUCAUCAGAUGAACUCUCGUUCUCCGAGUGGUGUGCUAUUUUCUGUAGAAGUAGAUUCUUCCUUUUCUGUAUAUCUUUCCUCAGGUCUUCGCUAAGAUAACCAUCUGCAGCAUGAUGAUCUUCAACAACUGUCAUAGCACGGGGCUUUGACACCAGGGGUGUGCGGGCACCCCCUUUUUAGGUUCGGCAGAAGGCAACGGGGAUCGCUUCGGCGAUCACUGGCGGGGCCGAUGCGCAGCCUGCAAAACACACUACGGACACAUGCACACACGUUUUACCCAGGUUCGGGCCACCCGGAGGUGUAAAACCCUACGUCCUGCUUGUCUGAGCUUGUAUUAUCGAAAGAUUGAGUGUUUACAAGUUGCCGGAGGAAGAGUCCCGGGUGCUCUCUUUUUGGCUAAGUGCUCCUUGCUACUCUGAGCUAGUGCUAGUAAUAAACUGUGUGUUGGACCAACCAACGAGAAAACGAACCCUUUGACCGUUGGCGGGGGUCCUCCUUUUAUAGCCAAGGGGAUACCACAGGUGCCACAGUGCAUAGAUUACAAGUGGCGAGCAGGGAACUCGGGCAGCUCCUCCUUGGUGCGCUGGCAGACAUGCAAAUGCGCCAGCCCUACGGCUAGGGGUCUAAUAGCCUAUAAACUAGCUCUGGGCAGCCACUGUUUGCCUGACUAGAUGGAUAACCCCCUCCUGUCGGCUCAUUAAAUGUGUCUUGCGCUAUACUCCUCGUCCUGGUGACCCUGCACACUGGGUGCCUGCCGCGCGCCCACGUGGCGCUGCCGCUCUGUUUGCUCGGCCCCGCCUUCGCAGCAGGAACCUGCGCCCGGGAACGCCUCCUCCUGGCGAGUUACCUCCCGGGUAGCACCCAGGCAAAAAUAUUCCCCGAAGCCCCGCUAGGCCUGCCGGGCUGGUAGCACAUUGUCGUGGGCAGCUUGCACAUUGCCGCCCGGGGUGCGAUCCCCCAGGGACCAAGCGAUGUGAACCACGCGUCGUGCAGCCGUGGUACCCCGGGUGCCACUGGUGCGACAACAACUUUCAUCAAAGCAUCGAAACGCUUCUGUUUCCUAGAUUGCCUAUCGCUCCGGUACUUCCUUUUCUUAGAACUUUUUGACCCUGUUUCUAUGCCUUCCCCUUUUGUUCCAUCCUUGACUUGAUCGUUCCUCUACAACACGUAAUAGAAAUAUGAGAGAUAUUUUUUUUCUUUAGUACGUAAUAACAUGUCACGACAUUUACCUUGCAAUAACCGUACCACUGGCUCAAAUGUACACUAUGAGCAUUCUUGUCCAUACUGAUGAACAAAUCUAAUUUUGCCUUAUGGUAGGCCUUGAUCCUGGGGAAAACAUUUGCCAUAGCUUUCCUCUCUCCAAAAUAUAGGGUAUCCAAAUAAAAAAUCUGCACACAACAUCAUGUAAUAUAAACAUUUUAUCAUCUGAACACUAUGAUGCUGCAUUACGAAAUAUUUACAAUUCAAACUAACCUGAGAUACAAUGGAGCAACCACCUACUGUGCAUGUCGAAUAACGACUUCUCUUCAGUUCCUGAACCUUCCGAGCAGCAAUAGCUAUAAUAUCAAGUACACACCUUCCGUAGUUCACUUGUUUCAACUUCUCAACACUGACCAUGUAAGGUAAUAGAUAUCUUGGCAUCUUUGGCUCACGAUCUCUACAGUCAAGCAUAAACGUGAAUGCCAUUAUGACAAUUCCUAUUUGAAAAGCUUCUUGUUACUGCUUUGUGCUUUGUUCAUCAAGAAAGUUUUCAACCACCCUCCAAACACUGGAUAGUGUUAACUCCUGCACUCCUAGAGCCGUGCAAACUUCUUCGACUGUUUCUGCAGAAUAUCAUCAUCAAUCACAGAAAUAUGUUCGCCCUCUGAUUUUACGCCUAUGAUGUCAUGUACAUGUGAUGGGUACAUGGGUACUCGAGUACCAUCAGAGUACUCAAACUCAAUAGGAUCACCAUUUGCAUCAGUCUGGUGCAAGCAGAAAAAAGAGAAUUGAUGAUUCCAUUGCUGCUUGGGCAUUUCUGCCAACCCAUCAAAUGAAAUCUCUUUCAUCAGUAAUAACUUGAAAGGAUUAAAUUUUGAGAAGAUAUCUUCCAAAACAUUUGGCUUCUGACAGCCAAACAGUUUUGGAUUCCAGAUCUCAUGAUCAGGUAAACUAAUGCUGCGGCCUCUACUUCCACGUCCUCUGCUCACAGAUGAUACCAUGUCUACCAAAACAAAAAAAAUUAAACUCAACAACUAUUUCAAUAUUAAUUAAUCGUACCCAUAUAUCAAAUUGUACUUACAUUCUAUCUGGGUUACAAACGGUUGAAGGAAUUAUAAAUCAGUACUGAAGUGAUCACACAAUUUGCUGUACCUUAGAACAUAUCGCUAUUUCAUUCUAACGCGUACCUACGUGCGUAGUCCUAAAACUUGACGCUCUGCUUCUCGACCGUCCUCUUGACGGUGAGGGGACCAUAUCUAAUCGAAAUUGUACCCAUUUAGACAUCCAGAUUCAGAUCAGUGGAUUGUACACAUUCACAUAUGAACUGUCCUUACUUUAGAAGUAACUGUAUCCAUUUAGAUAUACAUUGCCAAUCGAAUAAGAAAGCUAACACAAGAAGGUACAUUAAGGGACCUUGAAUUGUAAUUUAUCAUUUUUUGAAUCCAAAUCCAAGGUAAUCAGAAACAAGUUGCUUAGUACGUGCUGUAUCAUUUUUUGAGAAGGAAAUAUUAGUAUCUAAAUUGACACAUCUUAAACAAUAAUCCAGAUUAUAGUUUCUUCAUAUGCAAAAAAUUCUACAAGGAAUGGGAACAGGAAUACCCAAAGAGAAUACAAAUUAUUUGUAUGGACAAAUAAACUUGCAUUGCUGAUCCAUACAGGAAAACAUUAAAUAAAAGUACAUCAAUGUACUUUUAGUUCAUAACCAACAUAUCUUAAACAACUAGCAGUCCAAAUGAAAGAGGUACUGAAAUGUACACCACAUGGCACAUGUGAACAUAAACCAUUAAGCCCUAAUAUGAAAAACGUACAUGAAGGUAUCUUAAAAUAUAUAAAAUUCGUUGCUAGUAAUAUGUACCUUGAGUACUUUGGUACACAUGCACAUAAUAUCACAACUUGGUUGGAUAAAGUACCGUACGUACAACAGAUAAAAAAACAAGAGAAACAUAAAGCGCGCGAAGUUGUCUUCAAAAAUAUGUUUCGGCAGAAGUAAGAAGCAUUAAGUACCCAAGAUCCGUACAGAUUUGUACUCAAAGAAACAUCCAUAUAAGAAGUUCCAUUACUGGGGGAUAGUAGAUGAAAUCCAGCACAAGAUUGCUAACAGGGGUUUGAGCCUUAAUGAAGUAACAAAUGUAGAAACAAAAUCAAAAGGGGGAAGCAUCUCCACUACCUGUUGGUAGGUUGCUUCUCGUCGGAGAAGAUGGACUAAGCUCGCGAUGUGGAAGAAGUGAUAGCCAGAGCUCACCUAAUCUGCACGGAUUCUGGAUUCCUCGACUCCCCUAGGCCUCCGACUUCCUCUCUUCCCUGUCCGACGAGUCCGGGGCGUAAUAAUCCCUAAGUUGGUUCUGAUGUACUGCCGGUACAAAGAAAACAGAGAGCCCAAAUUUAUGUAUCCAUAUCUGGUGGUCCCACCGUACUGUUAGAUUAUUUUAUGACAUGAAUGAAAAAAAUAUAACAGAAGCUGAAUUGAACGGCCUCGUAUAGAAUGUCAAUACUAAUUGUGAUACAUAUUGGUUGAUUCAAAUACAUGAUUUCAACAUUAAUAAACAUAUUGGUUUAUUGAAAUCAUAAUAAGAUUAACAACUCCAAUUCAGGUUCUGAACAGAAAUGUUGUUCUCUUCAGCAAACAAAGAUUAAUAUUGGUACUGCAAAAACAACCCCCAAAUUAGUGCAUCGCACUUAGACUCGAUGCAACUCAUUUUACAAAAUGUUCCAACAUUCCGAAGAACUUUGUACAUCAGGGAACCUGAACGUACACACAUGUACUUCCAGGUACAAGCAAAAUAUGGUAUUAACUCGCUACUUUGAUCCACGAACAAUCUACUCCAGUUUCCUCCUUUUGACGUCUAGCCGACAUGAGAUACCUUGACGUCCACCGCUGACUCUGGUUGCACGUUCUGUGCUUGAACAUGCAUCGGAAUCAUUCCCAGCCUUCGCCUCAGGAGCAUCUUCUUCCUUCUUUCCAAGAACGAGAAACAUAUCGUUGUCUCCAACCACAGCGUCUUCUUCUUUCACAUGCACAAAGUAGGGUAUAGCAUCUGGAUGAACAACAUCUACAUGAAAUUGGUACUCCUGCAUACAUAUUUACUUAUGAGCAUUGCACAAAUCUAAAUCACAAGGUAUAAUAGAGAAGGGACUGAUCUUUACGGGGUCGUCUUCCUCCUCCAAGUCGGACUGAAACUCUGGAUCUUUAUCUGAAUCAUCGUUCACCUCUUCGAAAUCAGCCUCAUAUCCAGCCUCCUCCUGCGAAUUGACUUCAGCAGAAAUAACCUAACAACAAAACGGUGAACUCCAAAUUUGAAAACAAUUGUACAGAGACGUGCUGUAACAGAAAUGUACCUCCGAAUGAUCUGGGGAACGGCCAUUGACAGAAGAUGAAGAAGAAGGGUGAAGCGACCGCCCCCUUACCAGGGUUCGAUCUCUGUGCUUAUUUGUGCUAGUCCCUGGAUCGACUCACUAGCACACACAGUUCAAGAUGUAAUACCAAGAUACAAAGGUCAAAAGUACUUUAUUACAUCAUAUCAUCCAGAACUUAAAUUGUACUUACAAACUUGCAUGACCUCUUAGGCCAGCAUAAACAGAUAUCGUUUCAAAACCAUGAUAACAUUGUAUCACAAAACUGCAGCGGAAAGGUAGAGCAACAGGGCCUCAUCUACUCCCAGAGGAGAGAGCAUGUUGGAAUGUAACCACAUGACCCAAAUAACAUCGACGAACCUCACUCUCCGUCUGAUUCACCUGCAUUAUUAAUUGCAGCCACCAAGUGGUCAAUACUUUUGAAUGUAUUGGCAAGUUCACCUGAAAGUUAUAACAGAUCCUACCAAGUAUAUGCAAUUGAGGUAUAGUGGGGUUCAGGCUUUAUGGCAUUGUAGCAAAACAUAGUUUAUCUUACUACAAGUGAAUGUUACAAUAUUGUUAACUAAUGGACACGGGGUAGAAACACCCAUGCUCCUAUUAACCUAGAGCACAUUGAGUAGAAACAUCAAGUGCCCCUACCCUGUUCAAACCAUUCAUUUUAUUUAAGAAGUUGGAAUGAGUGAGACUUUCCUUACAGCCCCAAUAUCUAGUUGCUCAUAAUUGUCCGUAACCAGGGACACGGCUAAGUACUUAGUUUGACACUCUCAAGAGGUUGUACACAUUCCCCACAAGAAAUCGACGUGUUAAUCCCUUCAUGUCCUCCCGGGGGAGUAGCAACGACAUCGACUUCAAGAAUUUUCAGAACAUGUUUGCCCAGACCACCUGAGGGGCCCACGCUCCCACCUACACAACUACCUCAGUACAAUCCCUCAGAUCUGGGUUCACAAUUCUUACUCCAUCCAGCCAGAGCCCAUUUAGCUUGUGGUUGUACUGGAAGCUACUAAACAGGAAACUAGUCCAGUCUCUGAUACCCCAGGUGGCAUUCCACAUUUCCGACGCAAGCGCUCCCCGAAUCCACGGAAGAGACGUCCAUGGACGAUCCAUCUCUGAAUCCACGGAGACUCGACUCAGAGGGACCCAUAGAAAUGGACCUGACGUCGCAUAACAUCUCAAAAUCUCAAAGCAGUCCACCCAGAAUGGUUCAUUAGGGUUGUUUUUGCCAAGUUUCCAAAAUCACUCCACAUCAUCAUUUCACAUUUGAUUGAGAUUCCCUCCCACGUAUACUAACAUAGCAGGGCUAAGCAAUUCUAAUCACGAUGGCUAUUGGUGGAGGAUUCAUGGCAAAGGUAACCCUAUAGCUAGUAGGUCAAUCAUAGCUACCAUAAGUACGAGUAAUAGUGCUAUCAAUGCAUUUCUACAAACAACUCUAAUGCAUAAGUAUUUAAAAACAAACAGUAAUAGGAUAUGAUCAAAGUGAAUUUGCCUUGAUAGCAGUUGGAGUUCAAACACUCGUCACAAUCGCAAGGUUCACUCUCCGAGCAUACUAUACAAUCAAACAAACAUACACCCACAUAAACACACAAUCCAAACAUGACAAAAGAAUGUAUGCUAUGAUGCGAUGCAAACAUGCGACAUGAUUGGGUUUAUUUUAUUCGGGUGAUCUACUGAUGUUAAGCAUAAGUAUUUAAAACAAGUGCAUUAGGGUUUUAAAUAAAAGGCAAAGGUUCCAAUGGACAGAGGAUAUUAAAACAAAAUUUUGGGCACUGGUGUCAUUCAAAAAGGACUUCUAAAUAAUUAGUUAUGAAUUAAAUGGUAUUAAACACUAUUCUGUAAUUUGAAUGUGAUUCAAAGAUUAAAAUUUGAAAUAGGACAGUGCCAAAAGAUUCUAUAUUUCCUAAGGAUUCCAAAAAGGUGUGGAUCAUUAAAUUUGGCCAAACAGAUUUAAAGUUAUGAUCAUUUGAAAUAACAUGGGCUUUUCUGCAAAAAAGCCAUUUAAUUAUUCCGGAGAAUUAAAAUUAGAUUUUCAUUUUAUUUAGCAGUGACACGUGGCACGUUCUCAUUGGUUUGUACCGGUUCGUUUAAGUGAGAUAAAAAGGAUCUAAUCUACACCGUUGAUCAAAGAUCGGACGGACGUGGGGAGGUCGGGAUCACCUAGGGUUCCGGCGAGCUUCUCCGGCGGCGGCGUGGGGUUCUCCGGCAACACGGGCGGCUCGGGGAAGGCACGAGUGCAUGCGGCUCGUCGAGGCGAAGGCGGGGACAUGGUCGGCGCGGCGAACCGGGGUCAGGGGCGUCGCCUAGGUCGAAGAUGAGGCGGCGGCGCGGGCGGCGGACUCCGAUGAGCUCGGGCGGCGGUCGGCGGGGUGCUGCAGCGCGCAAAACGAAGGGGGAAGCGCGUCAAAAGAUGCGCACGGUCUCGGGGGUCCCGAAAAUUGAACCAUGGCCGAGGUUGCCUCACCUGGUUGCCGGCGACGGGCGAAGACGCGGCGGCGGCAGUGGAGUGCGGCGGCGAGAAAUUGCGGCGGCGUGGGCGCUUGCGAGCGGGGGCGAGAAGACGGAAAGGAGAGAGGGGGUCGCGGGGUUUAAAUGGACAUGCUCGGGGCUCCGAAAGAAGGACGGAAGAGGAGAUUGCCGCGGAGACGGCGCGCGGCGGCGAAGAAGGAAGGCGGCACGCGUCGCGAGCGCCUUCCAAACGAGGAAGAAGCCCCUAACAAGUGGGCCCCACCAGUCAGCGGGUGCGGGCGCGGCGCGGGCGAGCGGCUGGGCUGGCAGGGCUGCGGCGCGUGCGAGGGAUUGGGCCGGUUCGGCCUAAAGUGGCCGGGCCGAUCCGGUUUCCUCCCUUUUUUUUUCUUUUACCCUUUUCUUUUUCUGCUUUUCUCAUUUCUUUGAUAACUUUUGAUUUUGAACUCCAAAUUUGUCCAAAUAAAAUCCAGAAAAUUUGUAAAAUCAUGUUCUACCAUGAUACAACUUUUGGAAGUAGUUUCCCCUCAAAAUAAAAUAUAUAAAAAUACAUUUGCCCUAUAAAUGCCUUUAGGGCUAUAUAUCUAUUUAAAUAAAAUACUUUUUCAACUCCAAAUAAUUAUCCAAAAAUUAUGGGAUAGCUUAUAUAUGCAUUAAACCCCUUUUAUACAUAAACCCUAUUGGUUUGAAAAUCCAAAGCUUAAAUGGAUGUAAACAAAAUCUUUUAAAGCCUUUUGAGAUUCAAAAUUUGAAUUUAAAUAUGCAAUUGUGGCAUGAUGCUCAUGGAUGCAAUGCACAUGUAAAAGUUUGAAAUUUUGGGAUGUUACAAAGGGCUGAGAACUAAUGAAUCUGAAUCCAAAGAUGACACUACAGGUGGUGAUGCAGCCAUGCCUAUUGCCUAUUCUGUACGAUGGUGGUCGAGAGAGGAGAAUUACUUUGUAUGCUGAAUAGAGGAGAAUGAUAGAGCACAGAUGUAGUGCCUUUUAUGGAACCUAAUUUCCCUCCCAGGAGAUUCAAUAUGGCUUGGUCUUCUCCACUUCCUACGUAGAGGUUCCCCCCAGAACAUAUAUUUCAAACGAGGAGGACCCACCGCCGUCUAAAAAAAUCUCUAUCCAAUUCAGAAAAGGUAUUUACAGUAGUUAGUACUCAUAGUUGCACUAUAAAACUUUGUACAUGAACGUACAUUUGGGUACAUCAUGCUUCAGGACAUGAUGAUUGCGUUUGUACUAAGUACAUUGAUAAUUAGGAUACAUCAUAAAAGUUGAGAUGUUUGGUCGUAGAUGAAAGUAAAGGCAUGUGAACGUAAAGCACAUGACGAUUGCACACACGAUAAGUAAGUAAAUCCUUUUUUAGCAUCUGAAGUAACAAUAGUACAUCAGUAAUAAGAUGGAUACGAAGUACAUGGUACACAUAUUACAUAUUACUAUAUAGUUAUUCUAUUUAACCGAUAGUUUUGCCCAGAAAUUAUUUUGAGUACAAUUAUGUAGUACAUGACGGAACAUUUGGGUACAUUACAAAAUGGACUAUAUCCUCUUCAAGAAGCAGUCUCUCCAAUAGAGAACCUCAUCCGUAUUGGUACAUGGUACAAACAGAAGAAACAAGUAACAACACCUCAAUUUACUUGCAUGCAGUAUUGAAACAUCCAUUACAAGGUUAACCACAUCCAUUGAGAACAACAUAGUUUUGAAAAUUGAAAAAUGACUAGUUUCGUUCAACAAAACAUAAAGUUCACGUACUACCAUUUCAUAAACACAAUAAUAUUACACGGUGCUACAACAUCUAAACACCUAGUUGAUACUCAAUAUGCUGAACAUCAAUUGACGAAGCGCAAACAUUCCUGCGAUGUCCCACAGGACCACACUUUCCACACUUAGGAUCGCUUCUUUUAGAAGCUGGUUUAUCUUGGUUAGCUUUGCACGCUGAACGAUUGUGUCCACUGAGCUUGCAAAUAGUGCAGAACUUCGUCCUUUUCCGCUUCAGCUCGUAAGCAGGCUUGUCUCUAGUAUUUGUAGGUCUUCCCUCAGGACACUUACGAACAGGCGCAAGCACUCCGGUAUGAAUCUGCCCAGGAACAACAUCACUACCCUGUGGUACUUGUAAAUUUACAACAGGGGCAACAAGAAGUUCUUGUAGACUGCGUCCAUCAGUGUAUUGGUACAUUUCACCAAACUUCUUCGUGCCGUCCUUCAUAUAUUUCACUACAUCAUGAUAGCAGUCUACAUUCUUAUCACCAAUAGCAGCUAACUCAAGAGCUGCUACGUGGAGAGUAGCAUGGCGAUAAGACUGUGACCUCGCCGAACCUCUAUCCUUCUGCAAAUGUACUAAAUGAUCAGGCAACACAUCAGUUGCAUCUUUUGUCCAUCGCUUCAAGAUAUGCCCUUCAGGUAUCUUGUCAACUCCUUGUCUCAGCAUGACCUAAACAGUGUAACAAAAACUGUAUGACAAAAAAUUACAUGUACGGGAAGAGAACAUUAAGGUAGCUGGUGUUAUCGAGUUUGUACCCUGAUGGAAUGACAGCAAAGCAUGCCCAUAUGUUCAGCUAGUCCACACUCACACUUGUACAUGCAACCACCAUCACUUAUAGUUACCUCAUAAUUUACUUUUGACCACUUCUCCCUCCUAGCAGCAUCAGAAUGUAUGGUGAGAUAUUUCUUGUUCGCUUCUGCUUUAAUCACAUUGCAUGCAGCGCUACCAAAUAUGUGAUCGCUGAACAGCUGAAGCAUAGCACUGGUAUAAACUGUGGCAGCAUGUUUCUCAAUAGGCCAUCCGGUCUUUAGCACAACACCACCCUGCAAAAACAGAUGAUACAUAAGUAACAUGACGUAAUGAAUCAAACUACAGUGCUGUCAACUAUUACACGCACCAUCCUAGUUCGUUGAUUCUCAGAAUCUUCUUUCAAAAUACGAUCAGCGAUAAGUUUGUUGUACUGCUUCACAAACAAAUGCAUCGGAGCACCAGGUGGUACAUAUCCCUUUAACAUGUGAUUUGCACUUUCACUUCGUUGUGUACUUAUCAUCUUUGCACAAAAUAUACCACUAAAGUACGGUUUUGCCCAAUGAUGACGCGCUUCAUAGAUGGGCGUAAGGAAAUGAUGUUCUUUCAAAUCAUACUUUUGCAAUAGUCCUUCCCAAGCAGCCUCAAAUUCUUCUACAGUUAUACUAUAAUUGAUUAGCUUGUGAAACUCAGGUUCGAAAUUACUAUACUUUGUGUAAACAGAACCAAGUCUCUCUUUCGCCAUUUUUGGAACAUGCCACUUGCACCACCUGUGAGUUGUAUUUUUCAAGACACGUUCAAUUGCAACUUCCAUGGCACGGCAUUGAUCUGUAAAACAGUAUGAUAGGAUUCAAUUAUUUUAUACGUGUCUUACAAUGAAGUACAUCACAUAUUAGACAAAUGUACCACAACAUGUACCUGUAAGUAUUGUCACCGGAGGUUUUCCACCCAUCAAAGAAGUAAAUUCACGAAAGAUCGACUCAAAACUUUCAAUAGUUUCUUGUCGCAUGAGAACUCCACUGAAUAUAAUGCUUUGAAAAUGAUUGUUUACUCCAACGAAAAGUCCAAAAGGCAUACCAUACAGAUUGGUCUUGUACGUCGUAUCAAAAGUGAUUGCAUCUCCAAAGCACUUGUAAUCCAUCUUGCUCUUACCAUUCACCCAAAUUAGAGUCCUAAUUCUUCCAUCUGAAUCUAAAUCAGCAGUGUAAACAAUAGAGGGAUCCUCAUCUCUCAUCUUCGUGAAUAAAUCCAUUGUCUUGCGAACAUCAUCAUUUGCUUCCUCUUUUGAUAUUUGUUUGCAUAGAUUCUCAAGCGACCGUUUAUUGAACGGUAUGUCUUCAGUUGAACCAAAGUACGUGCCAAGUAUGCUAUAAACCUUUGUUAGAGGAAGAUUGUUCUCCCUUAGAUUCCUUACUAACUCCCUUGUGUACCGAUCUAUGUGUUUAUGAGAGGGCCAACACAUUUUCUCUCCAUUGUUCCGAGAUAGGUUAUGGUUAUGCUCUAACUUGCACUCCUUGAUAUACCAACCAUGGUCCUUGGUCCUCAAAAGCCUUAUCAUUGCUUUGCAACCACAUCUAACAUAAGAUGUAUUCUUCUUCCUGGGGUAACCCUGAAUAAUAAAUUACCAUUAGUACAAUUCGUUCAAUUUGACUAUGCUAGUAAUCAGGGGAAAAAAAUAUACCUCGCAUCCGCAAACAAUAUGCUUCAGUGUUUGGUACACGACAUCCUUCUUAGGACCAGAUUUGCACUUAUAGCUUUUGCUUCUGCUAUAACGAAUGCCAAACCCAACUUCCCAUGAAUAUAGAUUGAUGUACUCGUAAGCCUCAGCUAAUGAGUCAAAGCAAAGACCAAUUUUGGGUACAUAAUUUCUUCAGUGCUCCUCUGUGCAAAACCACGCAAUGCAUUCUCAAGGGGACCAGGUCUACCAGGCACAUGAACACGUGCUUCUGGUCCAGCAUCAAAAUUUUUCCUAUGUUCACAAAAUUCAUAGAAGUUAUUAAAUCUCAAAAUUGUGGCUUAUCACAUGAUUAAGUACUACAACAGUACCUAAUUCUUCCUGCAUAAUUAAAGGUCGUACUUCCAAGAAAUGAACGUACCUAUGGGACUGAUGAUUAAGUACUUGAGCAACACUUAAUUGUUUUUACAUAACUACCGUUACUACAUCCAACCAAUUGACAGGCAUUAGGUUACCAUCAUAAUAACAAAAUAAGCACAUGAUAAAAUACAUUGUUGUUUCAUGUACAAUUGAUUUUCAAUUCAGUACUUCGAACGUUUCAGAAAUAUUGUUGGUACAUUUAUAUACACUCCUUGUUUAUCGUUUGUACUGAUGAAAGAUAUUUAAUUUAGCGUUGAACUUAACUGUUAUUUCGUGUACAGUUAAUUUCCAUUUAGGUAAUCCACACAUUUCAAAAGUCAGGUAAGUACAAUGUCCUAUAGUACUUCCUUAGUACUGAGCUACUUUAGAAUAAACCGUGUACAUUACUAACAUUUUUUUGUACGUCUAAGUACAUCAUGUGUAGCUAAUUCAGGUUUUUGAAGACGAAAAAAAGAAACAUUGUCUGACCUACCUAUACACUUCUUGCUUAUGGUUUGUACUGAUGAAAGAUAUUAAAGUUAGCGUUGAACUUGACUGUUAUUUCGUGCACAGUUAAUUUCCAAUUAGGUAAUCCACACAUUUCAAAAGUUAGGUUAGUACAAUGUCCUAUAGUACUUCCUUGGGACUGACCUAGUUAAGAAUAAACCGUGUACAUCACUAACCUAUUUUCGUACGUCUAAGUACAUCAUGUGUAACUAAUUCAGAUUUUUGCAGACAAGAAAAAGAAACAUUCCGUGGCCUAACCUUCGAGACGUUGCAGUAAACCCAACAUCAUCACCUGAAGCACCGAUUUCAGUCCAGUCUUCUAUUGAAGCUUUGCCCGCGUACUGUGGAAUAUCCUUGGCUCUACCAGCACUACUCCGUCCUCGCGAUUUGUUUAUGCGUGGAGCAGAGCUGCAUUCAGACGAAGAUUCUUGCGGAGGGACAACAAAUCUAAGAAAAUAACAUAUCCAUUUAAAUGAAAUGUAGGAAGUAAGAAAGGAAGAACCGAAUGGAACCAAAAAGAACAUCCAGUACCUAGAUGGUACUUCUAUUACUUCCAUGCCUCUCCAGUAGAAUUGUUCAUGCGACAGAACCGAGAAAAGCGAGGAGGAAGAACCUGUACACUUCUAAUCAAAGUUUCGGAUGAACCGAGAAACACGAAACCCAAAUUCGUCGCAAGGUCCGUCCGGACAAUGGAGGUUAUGAGGAAGAACUUCUCGUCAGGGAAGAAGAAGACUAGAUAUUUUCUUCCCUCUCCUCAGAGUCUCUCUUACCGACAACCCCGCCACUUUAUGUGUCCUGUUCUUUGGCUUCUAACAAGCACUGUAUCCGUACCUAUCCUAGCUACAUGCAAGGUGACAGAUUUAAUCUUUGGACAUUUUUAUAAAUCAUUUCAACGGAUCGAAUAGUGCGUUCCUAUGCUCCAUCGUGUGGCUCACACGGUGGGGCGAGAUCGCUCCCGACCUACCGCCUCCGCGUUAGUUGUUUGAGUGCGUCUCUCUCUCAAUUGGGCUGGUUUCGCAAGCCCACACCCACGUUUUCGACCGUCAUCGUAUCGUCCAUUUGUCCUCCCCCUCCUUUCCGCCUCUCUCUCUCCCGGGCCCUAGGUGUUCGGGGUGUCCACGCCGGCGGCCAGCGAGGAGGCGAGGAGCCCCGAUGCUGCGCCACCGCAUCCCUCGGCUUCCGUAACGCCAAGAGCAACCACGGCGUGUCACUCGCGUCCGCUCCUCGCCCCAUUCACCGAUGGCGCCGCGGCUUCCGUUUCUCCGUUCUGCCGCGUCUCUCGUCGCUUCGCCGGUGCGCCAAGGCUAGACAGCGGCGGCGAGCCGGCGACGACUAUGACGGAGGAGUCGAGGAAGCGGAAACAGCCGACCGACGCGCCGUCUCCGGGGGACUAGGGGCAAGAGGAAGUGGCGGCGGGGUAAGCGGCCGAAGGAGGUGAAGCCUGCGCUGCCGCUUCCGUCGGAGAUAAAAAAGAACAAGGAAAAGCGUAGCGAGGUGCCACGCUCAGGCGCGCGAAGAAGGCCCAGAAGCGCAGGCUCGGCGAGGGAGCCCGAUGAGACCGUGUGCCUGCCUGACGACCAGCAGGUAGUUGCCGUGUCUUCUCCGUUGCUUACUUGGUUAGUUUGAUCAGUGCGGUUGUACCAAACAAUAAAACAGUUGUAGCUUUACACCGCAUAUGUAUGUCAGGAACAUCAAAUCCAAGGGUGCUUAUGUUAGGCUAGGUUUGUGCAAAAUUGGAAUUACAUUGCUUCAUAUUUCUGAUAGCAGGGACAAAUGUGAGAUAGUAGGUAUGAGCACGAGGUUAGGGAUGAGAGGUUUCUUUAUUCGAUAUGGCUGAGUGAUGUUAAGUGGCAAUGGCAUCCAAGGGUGUAAACAUUCAUUGUUUGGAUCCUUUCUUGUGGAGCAUUUUGAAGCUCAAGUAAAGGCAAGCAAUUUGGUGCUUGUGAUUGACCUGAACAGCUGGUGUACACAUGCCAUUCUUACGACAUGAGAUAUAUACAAGGAUUGGAGACGUUCUUAGCAAAAUGUAACCCGUUGGUACCUUAUUUACAAAUCCUAGAAGCUACACAUGACAUACUGAGAGACAUUCUCAGUUAAAUAUUACUUACCUUGUUUGAUUGUAUAUUUUAUUUGCCAUUAGUUUGUUUAAACUCAACAGUUUGUCAUGAAAUGGCACCCUUAACACGCACAUCAGUGCUUGCAAUAGAAUCAUAAGGUUAGUCCCUCAAUUUUUCAUUGCUCAUCUUGAGAACAGAAAAUCUGUUCUCACUGUCUGCUUCUUUCGACUUGCCAGGACUGUUGUACUUUGUGUAUGUAUUGAUCAGGAAGAAUCCAUCCUCUUAGUGUAACAUCUCUAAAUCAUGUACAUUGAGAAAGGAGGAUGCUUGAGAGAAAUUGUAACCCUAAAAAAGGUAGUGACCUGCAGUGCUUAAUCCCUCUCCAUCUCUCCCGCUGUCGGCUUCUGCUCCCCUUGCCCUACUCCAUCUGUCCAUCCACAAAGUUAGUAGUUACAACUUAACACUGGUCUCCCCCUCGUCCCAUUGGAUAUUUUUUUUUGGCUUCUCCGGCUCCCUGAUUUUGUGCUUGUAGUGAGCUAUAUUGUUGCCUUUCUGCUCGAAACAUUCAGAAUGAGCCAGCAGUUGGAAGUGACAUUCAGAGAGGAAGGAGCCAAUUUCAUCUUCUAGGCACAAAGGACAUUUGGUAUUUAAUUCGGGCCUAUUCUCUUUCCGAUAUCUAUUAGGUUGUAUUUAGUUAUGUACUAAAAUUUGAUGUUCAGGGUUUCAGAUUUAGUAACAAGCUGACUGGACAGAAGGUAUGAAUGUUGGCGUGCUGCAUGGUGGAUUUCCUUAUGUUCCUGCUAUUCAUUUGCAGUCAUAGAUUUGACAAGUACCUCAAAUGUUUGGUGUUUGGUUCCGACAAGUUCUUACAUCGGAUUUAGUGCCUUGCUUCUAAGAUAAAUGAUACUAGAAUCUAAUGCCUUGCUUCUAAGAUAAAUGAUACUAGAAAAUACUGCAAAUUCCCUGUGAUGGUGAACACUUCAUGGCUGUUUAAAGUAGUCUUAGUUAUAGAAUUAUAUAUUCGAAGUUUAACUUACUAAUUGGAAUUGUUUCAUUAUGUAAUAUGAAUAUUGUAUUAUGCUUCUGAGCUAGAUACUGAAAUUACUAUCAUUCGUGCUACCACUUUCUUUUCACUGCAUUACCUUACCUUUACCAUUCUAAAUUUUUUGUAUGUAACCGUAGAGGUGGCGGCACGACGCAGGGCAUCCUACGGGGAGGAAUAGGAAGUGAGGUUUUUAUAGACGGGACCUCGCCAUGGUCGCCUUCGGUUUUGACAUCGAAGCACUGCUGGUCUCCACGGCCAGAUCGAAGGUCCCAAGCUGUAGGGGAGUUCUUUUCAUCUGCAGAUUAUGAAUCAUUUCUACCUUGCUAGGAUUCGAUUAUGUGUGCUAACAAAUAACAAUUAUAGGCUGCUCCGAUUGCUUCACUAUUUCUUCAAACCAGUCGUAUUUUGUUAUCGACAUCGCUUAAUUCGAAUUUCCUUCAUGAUUCUCACCCGGUUGUUUGCAGCUUCUUUGUUAAAUUGAAUUUUAUAUGCAACAAUUUGUCGAGCUCGAGAAAAGCCACACACUACAUAAAAGUCAAUAUUGGGGCCCAAGCUUCUUGAGGUAUCACUUCUGCUGUUGAAUGGCGUAGAUUGAGCCUCUGCUCUAAUUCUGUUUCAUGAUGCUUCCCUUGAUGGUUUUGCUUUCAUGUUGAAUUCUUCCCAUGAUACCUAUUCAGAACCAUGCCAUCCAGGAAUUGACAAUCAUCACCAAAGAAUGCGUCCUUGUUCCUGGUGACAUGCAUUGGUAGGUACUUUUUGGUAUGUUAGUUAUUCAUGUACUCUGAUUCAAACAGCCGUUUUGCUAUAUAUACAAGUGGAAGGGCAUACAAGUGCUUAAUUAUUUAUCUCAUAACUUAGAUGUUACUGCCAAACUAUUUGUUUUUCUUAGUUCAUUCUAUCUAUAUCCUACCUUAUAUUAGUCAGCGUGCACCAAAUUAAUUGUAGAACAUACACAUUAUGUAAUACGCAUCCAAAGAUCAUUAUUUUCUUAAGUAUGUGUGCUGAUAUAUUUUCUCACUAAUUUCCAUCAAAUUCAUAAAAAAUAGACAGGCACUGCAACUUGCGCUAUCAUGAUCUAGUAGAAGAUAAAAACCGGAGUACGAAUCAGAUCUAACCAUAUACAUCAGAGAGAAAAUUCGACAUUUUGAAAUGGUAUAUUAAUGGUCAUUUCAUGUAUUAUCCCACUCGUUAGUUACGGCAAAAAAGAAAAAAAGUUGAUCAAUUUGGGGCGGCAGUUGCGGCAGCUUUCCUAAUUAAUCACAUGCGCGGUUACUCAAAGCUCCAGCGGUGGAGGGUGUUCAUCGCCGGAGCGAAGCUCUUAGCUGGACGUGAGAGUAGGUGGACUUGAAGCUAGAAAGAAGAAUUAAGGAUGUACUGUAUUUGGUUCUGGGGUGGGGCGGGUUGGGUCGGCUCCACACAGGCUUUUUUGUGUUUGGAUCGGUGAUUGGGCUAGAGCAGAGCGGUCCACGGUGAAAAUUGCUCCCCAAAAAACGAUUCGGUUCGCUCGCUGAAUUUUGUGGACACGCGGCCCGCGAGCCCAUUCGCUCACGUACGACUCUCCCUCGGCAUACAAAUACCUCUCUGGCCCCCCUCUCCCGAACCCUAACACCACUCCCCACUCGCGCCGCUCUCUCCUCCCGAACCCGAGCCGCAACUCUGCAGCCAUAGCGCCGCUCUCUCCUCCCUGAUCCCAAACCCUAGCCGUCCACUGCUCCUCUCGUUCCCGCUCUGUCCACUCGCUCUCAAACUGGAGACGCAAGGUGGCUGGCUGGCAGCGGCGGCGCAAGGCCAUCGACGACACAAGGCGACCACGUUUUGCUGGAUGCGGGUAAGUCUUCAUCUCGCUUCUCUUCUUUUUAUUUUUCUUGAUCCGGUUUUCUUGAUCUGUUUCUUGAUCUUUUUUUGUUGAUCCGUUUCUUGAUCUGUUUGCAGGGAACCGGUAGGGACGGAUCUGCAUCUUGUUCGGCCUUUUCUUCCUCUUCGUGGUUUUCUUGGUAAGGUAGUCUCUUGAUCCCUCCUUCACCUCUCUUCUUCAUGUUCUUCUCCGGAUCGUGGCUGAUCUGUUCUUGAUCUGCUAUGCAGGGCUCUGGAAGGGACCAAUCUGCUUAUUUCUUGCCUCCCUACGGCAUCCUCUACUGCCUCUUCCAGUUCUUGAUUUCUUGCAAGGUAACCACUUUGAUCCGGUUCUGUCCUUCCUUCUCUGUUUCUUGAUGUUCUUAGUUGUAGUUGCUAUAUGUUUAUCUCCCAGUGCUAUAUUGUUGGUCUCGUUGGUAAGGAAGUUGGAGUACACCUUGUGUACAUGCAGUCACUGUGUACUUACGUUAGCAGUAGCAUCUUGGUGAUAAUUAGUGUCGAUUUUUGGAGUAGUGCCAAACUUGGUGAUAAUUGAUGUGCUGAUUUUGGAAUGUCUUAUUUUGGACAGUGCAGAAGUUUGUGAAAUACCCAGAGCAAAAUAUGUUGUAGCAAGAAACUGACAUCAAAUAUUUGUGUUGGACCAUGGGUUUCAUUCAGUCUAGCUUCGAUGAUGUGUUAUGGUGUGCGCAGUUGUUCUCAAUCUGUUUACAGGACAUGAAUCUUGUAUUUGUUCGAUCUAUUGAGAAAUUUGCUUUUGUAAGAACUGUUGUGCUAUCUGUCAUGUAAGAUUUAUCUUUAGUUAAAAUCAGCAUUGCUACUUGUGUUCACUCUAUUGAGAAAAUGUUCAGAAUAUACUAGUUACUCUGUUUUGAUCUUGAGAUUGGUUCUGAUCUUAGUUAUGGCAUGUUCAAUUAGAUUGGUUCUAUAGUAUUCUGAAACUAGGUGGCUACAUUCUCAGUUAAGAACAAUUUGUUAAGAACAAUUUUGACAUUCUCAGAAUAUAACAUAAUGUACUUACAACAAGUCUCUCCCCUGCUUUAUUCUCUAACCUAAGCAUAGUAACAUCUUGUACAUAGUACUGUAUAAUGUACUGUUUAAUAAUUAAUUAGCUUAUGUACUGUUUAAUAACUAAUAGCCAAUCAAUUACUUUUUAUUAAUUAAUUAGCCUUAUGUACUGUGUAAUAGUUAAUCAGUUAAUUAAUUACUUAUUUAAAGGGUGCUGGAAGGGACUGUUUGUGGCUAUCUUGUUUAAGAUAAUUGGCUGAUUUGUGCUCUUUCUUGGUCUUUUUGCAAGGCAACUUCUUGGAUCUAGUUUCUUAUACUGUUCUUGGUUGUACCUGUUAUAAUCUCUGGACCUUUUUUUUUGCAAGGCUCGCGAAGCUUCAGUCUGCAUCUCCUAGACCAUUUGCUACCACUUGGGAUUCUUGCAAGGUAAUUUCGUGGAUCUGUGAUUGUGUGUGCUGUCAUUGCGAUUGUGUGUGCUAUUGGUUGCCCUUUCAUUGCCCUGAGAUUAUUUAGUGUGUAUUGUUUAAUGUUUAUUUUUCCAUGUACUGCUUAAUUUAUCCAUGUAUUGUUAUUGUUUUCAUGUGCUGUUUCAUUAAUCCAUAUACCUUUUAAUUAAUUUCAUGUACUGUUUCCAUGUGCUGUUUGUUGUUUAUUCAUUUAUUUUUAUUAACUGUCUAAUUAAUUACUACUACUGUUUAUUAUUUAUUUGAUGCUAUUUAUUAACUGUCUAAUUAAUAACUUUUUGUUAAUAUCUGUUUAUUAAUUAUGUAAUUAAUUACUGCUUGUUAAUUGCUGUUUAUUGUAUAUAUUGUUUAUUAAUUAAGCUAACUAAUUUAGCUACUCAAUCAAGCUAAUUAAUUAUGCUUAAUUAAUUAACCUAAUUAAUUAGCUUGUUUGAUGCAUUGUUUAUUGUACUGUUUAUUAAUUAAUUAGUUUAAUGAAGCUAUUGAGCUAAUUAGUUAGCUAAUUAAUGACCUUAUAUGUGAGAAGUAGCUCGAUGGGCCAGUGUGGUUGAGCUACUUAGCAUAGCUAAUUACUUAAUUACCUUAUAUGUCAGAAGUAGUUCGAGCAAUGCAUUGCUCUAACUACUCGUUUAUAAGCUAAUUAAUUAAUUACUUCUCGGCUUUGUUGAUUUAGAUGGAUUUCACAUCACUCUGGCCAAGAUCCAAGUGCCCCGCCUCCUUCAGGAUCCAAGGUACAACUGUACCAAGGUUAUUCCUCUACCAAAUCUGCUUCCCUCCAACUUGCUUUCCACUCUUUGGAUCAGAGGAGAGAUGCAUGGAUGCUAUUACGUUAGGAAGGGGACUAUAGAAAUGGUAUCUACAGUAUGCUCCUUCCCCUAGCAAACCCCUCGUAUUGUAUGUGGACAGAAGAACUAGUGUGUCUUGGGCUGCGUGUGGCGCAUAGUUCUGGCUUUGUCUGACGAGUGAUUCUCGUCUAUGUAGAACCGACACAAUUGUGUCCUCGUGUAGUACGCUAGUGAUACGGGGAUACGUCAGGACAAGCCACGAUAUGCGUAUCUCCGGUAUCCCUCUUUUGAUAUAAAACCAAAGAAAUGGGGAUACGGUAGGGAUACUGGGAAGAUACAUACGGGAUACUGAGGAAGAUGGAGAUGGCGGCUGCCGGUACGUGAGGAAGAAGAUCCUGGUGGUGGGGGGAAGAUGGGACAACACCUAAUGACGAGGGAGAAUGUAAUGAUCGAGAGGAGGAUGGGGAUUGUGGCCACCUAUGAGCCAGAAAUUCCAGGCGGCGGCACAGUUGAUGCUGUUUUCCUUUCAUGUUCUGCAGUAGUUGAGGAAGAUGGUGGCAGAGAAUACUGGCGGCUGGAGGCUGGAGGAACGCGAAAGGAAAGACUAGGGUUUUUGAAACUGGGCCUUAUAUGGGCUAAGUGAAUGGUUGCACAGGCCUUUAGUACCAUCAAACUGCUUGAAGCUUCAAAAUCAUCCACGAAAAGAAAACAUGUGGCAUAUGUCAUAAUUAUAAUGUUAUGUUAUCAAUCUUGUAUUAUAUAACUAAAGGACAUAACUAUACAGCAAUGUGCACACAAUGGCAUUAGCAUGUGGCGCCGAAACUUAUCUUUCCUCCCGUUGCUCCUAAUCACUCUCGCUGCUCCUGGUCACUCUCAGGAGUACAAAGCAAAGACAAGAAACAUAGCUGCACUACCAUGACUCUAAUCUGCUACAAAUCUAGGAAGAUAUCAAAAUAGUACUCCCCCCGUUUCUAAAUUCUUGUCUUGUGGUUUUAGUGCUAAUUUGAACUAAAACCAUGACAAGAAUUUAGGAACGGAGGGAGUACUAGACUACUGGCUGCGGCCUACAUCCACCUACUGCGUACUGCAGUACUAAUACUAUUUUGGCUACAAUAUUUAGUACUUUGCUAGAGGGUUAUGCACUUUGCUAUGAUGCGUUUGGAAGUUUUUCUUAUCUCUUUGAAAUCCUCUUUCCAAGCUAAUGCAUGUAUCUGUCGUAAAAACCUAGAUGCAAAGAUAAUUAAUUAUGGUAAUAACAACUGACAUAAAAAAAUUUAACACAUUUAUCUGCUACCUACACCAAUAAAAAUCUAAUAGAUGGUAAAAAAACUAGUAGCUACAUCAAGAAAAUCUGGUAACCGAUGAUUUCAUAAGAAAAUCUGGUAAUGGAUGAUUGCUAACUAGUAUUAUCAGUGUUUUUCAUAAGAAAUUUCUUUUCAUAAUUAUCCUUGUAGCCGGUACAUAUUAAUCCGGUAGCCAAGAUGUAGUGGGAUGGACAUUUGAGACUUGUCAAGUUUUCAAGUGCCAUGAAUAAGAAGUCAUCCGUGAUAGGUUUUACCAUAGAAAAAUGUGACAAUGUUUCUACAACCGCCUUUUAACCCAACCGAAUUAGAUCUUCACGGCUACUCCUUGCAACCUGCAGCCUUGACCUUCUUUGUACUGAUCCAACUGCCACCUCAGACUAGAUCCGCCACAGUACAUCUCCUCAAGCCACCUCCACUUCACCCUUCUCGAGGCUCCCACAACGGUAACAACACCAUGUGCAACCUUCCGGACAACGACAGCUCACAUGAAGGCCUUCUUCUCAUAAGCCUGAUGGUCGGCACAAAAAGACUUGGAGGAUGGUAGUGAGAUCAUUUUGAGGUGACCUGCCGUCUUCAUGCUAGAUCUGGACAUCCAGAUGUGGUCACAACACUGCCCGCCCUUGAAGACCCGCGACGGGCAGGCAACCAUCCAUAUCAGAAAUGCUCAGUUCACCUAUCAUCAGAUGUGCAUGGAGGUAGUUCUGAUUCUCUUAAAUGGUGGAUGAACUAUGUUCAUCAUUUGCUUGUCAACACAAUAAAAUAUUUUUCAAAAUGCAACACAACCAAACGUUUACAAUUCAUUGGAGAUGUUUAGGGCUUAUUCGGUUCACAAGAUUUUGAAACCAUAGGAAUAGGAGGUCUCACCUAAUGCUUAGAAUCCUUAGGAAUUAGGCUAAAUUGGACACAAUCCUUAGGAAUCUAGCAUGUCCAUUCCUAUGAAACAAAUGCUACACAUAAGAAAAAAUCCUAAGGCAUGAAAUCCUGUAGAAAUCCUUGAAACCAAAUGAGCCCUUACAAUACUUUAUAUAUAUAGUUGACACUUAUAUGCAGAUCUAAGAUUUACUAUUGUGCGGACAUAGUACAGAAGGAUUAAGAAAAACAAACCUUAUCAAGAUGUCCAUCAUGCCUUCUCUUCUCUUGAACAAUCCACCCUCUUGGUAAAUUUUUCGGGUCAAUCACAGAUUUGCGGCCCAUAACCUAGAUCUGUAUCAAAAGGCCCAAAGAAAAUCUCCACAUAUAUCUAAUAUCCUCGCCUUUUGAAAUAGAUCUUGGCGUUAUGGGUUGCAAACCUGGGAUUGACCCGAGAAAUUUACCGACAGGGUGGCUUGUUCAAAACAAGAGAAGGCCUGAUGGACAUCUUUAUAGGAUUUGUUCUUCCGGAACAUUUUGUUAUAUAUCCACACAAUAUUAAAUCUUACAUCUGCAUAUAGCUGUCAAGUAUAAAGUAUUGUAAAUAUCUCUUUGUUAAUGCAUUUUGUUGAGGACCGAAUCUAAAAUUAGUUCAUCUAUCAUUUUUGAGAAUCAAAACAACCUCUAUGUGCAUUUUGGUUCCGUGACCGCAUUUGGCCAGCUAGAUCUGGCAUGAAGACGCAAUGUCACCUCAAAACGAUGUCACCAUCACUCUCUAGGUCCUGUUGUGCUGACCAUGAGGCCUACGACAAGAAGGCCCUCCCGUGAGCUGCAAGUUGCGGAAACUGAUGUUGGGGUGACGUUGAAAACGUCGGAGCAGAGUCUAUCUAGGUGUCUUCAUGAUGGCAAGGUUGUGCACGAAGCUCCUUCUUGUCUUCUCAACCUUGGAUGCCACCUUGCCUCCUACUGGAUCUGGCGGUAUGGUGUGUGGUGACUGUGGUCGGAUGUGGCCUACAAUGGUGUUGUUGCCUUUUUGUGAGCCUCGAAAGGGGAAAGUGGAUGUCGCCUAAGGAAAUUUAAGCCUCGUUAUGGCGGUUUUUUAGAACCGUCUUGGAUGUGUGUCAAGAAUACAAUAUUCUAAUGCUGAGGAAUACAAUACCUGUCCUUUAUCUAUGAGUUUGCCUUUUCAAAUCUUAUUGCAUGUAUAAGCAGUAACUAUGUAAACACUUGCAGGGUGUGGUAUAAAUCACACAUAAGUGUUCAUUGUUCAAAAUUAUUUCUAAUGCUGAGGCUCAAUUUUGUCUGCACUAAUUUCAGAAAAUUGUUGAUAAAAUGAUUAGAAAAAUCUACCGGUCAACAACGAAAGUGGCAAGUAUUUUGGACUGGUGGCAAUAGCAUACCUUGUCCAACACCUCUAAGCAUCAAACAACAGGUUAACAUUAAAUGAUUUGCAUUGAAUUUUUUUAAAUCUACCUUGGAUGAAUUGUUUCUUUGUUUUCUAAAUGAAACUUCAGAAUCAAAUUAGCGGUCUUACUGAUUUUUAUUAUGCUAUUUUUAGAGAGGAAACUCAUCUGAAUCAUUGCCGACCAUGCAACAUAGUACUAUCCUUGGAGACUAAUGUUAUGAAAGAUUGUUUACAUGAUGCCAUUUGACUUGAAACUUGAAUUAUUGCAGUAGUUACUCAUUUUGGUUUAUCUAAAAAGUAAAGUGAUUCCUAAAACUGCUGCGAAUAUUGCUAGUGAUGCAAGCAACAUGGGGUUAUUGCAUUACAGUAAGAUGCAAUUCAAUACCCUUUUCCUAGUUUCUUGCAUCACUAACAAUGAUCGUAGCAGCUUCACCUUUUAAAGAAAACAUAAGUGAGUAGUUAUUGUAUUCAAGCUUCAACUCAAAUGGCAUCAUGCGAACCAUUUGUCAUUUUGUCGUAACAUUAAUCACCAGGAUAGUACUACAUUGCAUGGUCGGCAAUGAUACAGACGAGACUGGUCCCUACAAAUAGCAUGAUAAAAAUCAUGUAAGAAUAUUAAUUUGAUUUCGAGUAUAAUUUAAAAAAUCAAAAAACAAUUUCAUCUUGGGUAAAUUUGAAAACUGUUCAACGAAAAACAUGUUAUGUAACCUGUCUGAUACAUAGAGGUGUUGGACAAGGUAUGCUACCGACACCAAGUCAAAAUACUCUGCCACUUUCGCCAUUGACCGGUAGAUUUUUCUAGUCGUUGUAUCAAUAAUCUCAAAUUAGUGCAAACAAAACUGAGCCUCAGCUUUUUAUGAAAUAAUUAAGAACACAGAACACUUGUGUGUGAUUUCCCACAGCCUGCAAGUCUCUACAUAGCUGUUCGUUACACACAGUUAAGUGUUGAAAAGGCAAAAACAUAGGUAAAGGAGAGGUCUUUACUGUAGAAUAUCAUAUCCUUUACGCCUUUACGGACCAUCCAAGACGGCUCUAAAAACCCGCCACACAUGAGACUUACAUUCAAACGAUUCAUUACUGGGAUGGAGAUUUGAGACGUGUCAAUUUUCCAAGUGCUAUGGUAAAAAAGCAUCCGAGAAAGGUUUAGCCACAGAAAAAGCAGGAAGGCUACUGCCCUACUGCUCCCCACACCCUGCUGCCCUGCCCCUCUCUGUAUUGAACCCCCUCGAAGAUUUUUCGGGCUUCUGGGCGACUGUUUGUGAAAGGAAACUACUGCCCAGUUUGCUUGAAGGUAGUCCCAUCCUAUUACUUUUUCUUGGCAUGACUGCUUGUUUUCUACACAGAACGAAUUUAUACGCCUCAUGGCAUUAGUUCGUAUGUCUUGUUUUGUCCCACUGUUUCGCAUCUAAUAAAGUGGCUAUGCAUGAGGUCUUAAAGUGAGGAUUGUAUUUGUCUAUAGGUUAAAGUCUCCUAGUUGAGACUCAAUUUGUGUUGUUAACUUGGAGAACGUGCGUAGCAGUCUUGGUUUACACAUACCAUAAUGUUUUUCAAUGCUUUUCUGUGUUAACUUCUAUAUACUUGUUUCUGCUGAUUGGGUUUGUCUUUUCAGGUUUAUAGAGAUCCUGAUGUGAUACCUAUGGCGUGCUGCGAUAUUUGUGAAAAGUGGGUGCAUAUUGAGUGUGAUGUCAUCAGGUCUGUAUCACUGUAUGUUGGUUUAGACCACAUAGAUUGGCAAACAAACGUGUAGCACGUCGAGUAUUUUAUAACGAGCCGAUGGAAUCCGGCGAGAGACACGCACGUACAUGAAACCAAGCUAGUUCUACGUCAAGCCGCACACAAGAGAAUCAAUUGGAGAGCUACAGGCCUGAAUCGAGCCUGUCUUCUUUUCUUUAUUUUUCUGGGUUGAUUUACAAGGCACCGUUUGCACAUAUACAUGGGAAGAUGCAUACCGAUACAAACAACCUAACUAAAUGCGACUAGGACUACAAACUAAACCAGAAAACAAACUCUAUUUGGAUUGAUCUUGAGCUUACACUGUAUGAAUGACAACUUCUCAUUUUUCUUGCUUUCUAGUCUACACGGCAAAUUUGAUCAUUGGCCCCACUUUACCUCGCACUUUGAUGUUCUGUGGUGCAUACUUUGCUGCCUUUCCAUAAAUAAAUUAUGCAGUGAGGAAAAAUACCAGCAGUUCCAAGCUGACGAAUAUCUGCAGGCGCAUCAUGCCGUGGUGAAUGCUCCCAGGUGAUAUGUACUUCUGUCGUGGUUCCUCAUUGCUGGAUUAUACUAUGUCAUCUUACACUCAUUUUGCUUCUUCAGAUCAGGGAUCCAGAUGAUGCAGUUCGGGAGCUUUGGAAGACAAUGAUCUUAUGGUUAGUUUAAGGGCUGCUGCUGCACUGCCUUCUUUAGAAGAUUUAUCACCAUCAAACCCAAACUCAGAUGAUGAAAGACUCGGUGCAUUUGUACUAAAAAAUGAUGGUAGAAGCACACUAAAAUUCUCUUUCAAAAGUAACAGCAGUAAGCCUCCAUUACAUCAAUCUGGGCAAGAGAAGAUUGUUCUCAAGACCUCAGUGUCAAAUAAGAAGCAUUCCAAGAAAAAAAGGCAAUCAAGGAAAUAUAUCAGUUGGUGAUCCGGAUGAGAUAUUCUUGGAGAAAAGGCAUGAAGCCAAAUCAUAGAGUAAUUUGGGGGGUCAUCUAUAGAAGGUAGCCAUGGCCAGAAUUCAAUUAAGAAUGAUGAUAGUAUGUUUACUUUAUCUCCAACUCGAAGUUCAGAGAAAGCUGCUGCAAACAAUGCCAAUAUGAUACCCAAAGUCAAAAUGAGAGGCAGUAAAUUUUCCAUCUUAAUGCCUGAAUAGCUGGAUUCAUCUCGUGAUUCUUUAUUAAUCCCUUUAUUCGUAAUAAAUAAUACUUGAGCUAGUAUUUUUUUUCUUCGCAAUGUAAGAUUUGUUUACUUCAGAUUUCUUCCCUUUGUACUGUGUUAAAUAUUAAAGUAGCUUGGUGUCCUUUUGCUAUUUCAGGAGGGAAGAUUGAUGUAACAAGCCAGUUCAAAAGCUCAAGGAGUGAGAAAAAAGAAAAGAGUGUAAUGAAGCUAGUUAGAGAGACUGGAGUUCAAUAAAGAAAUAGCCUUUUGGGAGAUUAGGGCACUUCCAAAAAGCAUGUAGCUGGA